rnacentral:rRNA from 1 species
CCUACGGGAGGCAGCAGUGAGGAAUAUUGGUCAAUGGGAGAGAUCCUGAACCAGCCAAGCCGCGUGAGGGAAGACGGCCCUAUGGGUUGUAAACCUCUUUUGUCGGAGAACAAAAACAGGGACGUGUACCGGUCUGCGUGUAUCCGAAGAAAAAGCAUCGGCUAACUCCGUGCCAGCAGCCGCGGUAAUACGGAGGAUGCGAGCGUUAUCCGGAUUUAUUGGGUUUAAAGGGUGCGUAGGCGGUCCGUUAAGUUAACGGUACAAUUGCGGGGCUCAACCCCGUCGAGCCGUUGAAACUGGUAGACUUGAGUGUGCGAGAAGUACGCGGAAUGCGCGGUGUAGCGGUGAAAUGCAUAGAUAUCGCGCAGAACUCCGAUUGCGAAGGCAGCGUACCGGCGCCAGACUGACGCUGAGGCACGAAAGCGUGGGGAUCGAACAGGAUUAGAUACCCGUGUAGUC